rnacentral:rRNA from 1 species
UACGUAGGGAGCAAGCGUUGUCCGGAAUCAUUGGGCGUAAAGCGCGCGUAGGUGGCUUCGUAAGUCCGUUGUGAAAGUCAAAGGCUCAACCUUUGAAUGCCGAUGGAUACUGCGGAGCUAGAGUACGGAAGAGGCGAGUGGAAUUCCUGGUGUAGCGGUGGAAUGCGCAGAUAUCGGGAGGAACACCAAUUGCGAAGGCAGCUUGCUGGGACGGUACUGACGCUGAGGCGCGAAAGCGUGGGGAGCAAACAGG